GAGGGAGAAAAGUGGGGGAUCUUCGGACCUCACGCUAUCAGAUGAGCCUAGGUCGGAUUAGCUAGUUGGUGGGGUAAAGGCCUACCAAGGCGACGAUCCGUAACUGGUCUGAGAGGAUGAUCAGUCACACUGGAACUGAGACACGGUCCAGACUCCUACGGGAGGCAGCAGUGGGGAAUAUUGGACAAUGGGCGAAAGCCUGAUCCAGCCAUGCCGCGUGUGUGAAGAAGGUCUUCGGAUUGUAAAGCACUUUAAGUUGGGAGGAAGGGCAGUAAGUUAAUACCUUGCUGUUUUGACGUUACCAACAGAAUAAGCACCGGCUAACUUCGUGCCAGCAGCCGCGGUAAUACGAAGGGUGCAAGCGUUAAUCGGAAUUACUGGGCGUAAAGCGCGCGUAGGUGGUUCAGCAAGUUGGAUGUGAAAUCCCCGGGCUCAACCUGGGAACUGCAUCCAAAACUACUGAGCUAGAGUACGGUAGAGGGUGGUGGAAUUUCCUGUGUAGCGGUGAAAUGCGUAGAUAUAGGAAGGAACACC
rnacentral:rRNA from 1 species